GUAGCAAGCUUGUUAACAAGUUGUGACAACGCUGUUCCAACAACUUGUCAACAAGAUGUGUUUCCAAUAAGCUUGUAGCAAGCUUGUUAACAAGUUGUGACAAUGCUGUUCCAACAACUUCUUAACUAGAUGUGUUUGCAAUAGGUUUGUAGCAAGCUUGUUAACAAGUUGUGACAAUGCUGUUCCAACAACUUGUUAACAAGAUGUGUUUGCAAUAGGUUUGCACCAAGCUUGUUAACAAGUUGUGACAAUGCUGUUGCAACAACUUGUUAACAAGAUGUGUUUGCAAUAGGUUUGUAGCAAGCUUGUUAACAAGUUGUGACAAUGCUGUUCCAACAACUUGUCAACAAGAUGUCUCCUCAAC